CAGUCGCCACGGGAACACGGAGGGGGCUAGCGUUGUUCGGAUUAACUGGGCGUAAAGGGCGCGUAGGCGGGUUUUUAAGUCAGAGGUGAAAUCCCAAGGCUCAACCUUGGAACUGCCUUUGAUACUGGAAGUCUUGAGUCCGGGAGAGGUGAGUGGAACUGCGAGUGUAGAGGCGAAAUUCGUAGAUAUUCGCAGGAACACCAGUGGCGAAGGCGGCUCACUGGCCCGGUACUGACGCUGAGGCGCGAAAGCGUGGGGAGCAGACAGGAUUAGAUACCCGAGUAGUCCCUGUCUCUUAUAC
rnacentral:rRNA from 1 species